rnacentral:rRNA from 1 species
UGAAACUGGCGGCGUGCUUAACAACAAUGCAGUCGAACGAGAACGGGUCUUAGCUUGCUAAAGACUGUCAGCUAAGUGGCGCACGGGUGAGUAAUGUAUAGAUAACGUGCCUACUUACAAGGUGAAUAACAGUUGGAAACGACUGCUAAUGCCCUAUAUGCCUUUAGAACAAAAGUUCGCAAGGGAAAGUUUUUUCGGUAAGAGAUCGGUCUGUAUGGUAUCAGCUAGUUGGUGAGGUAAUGGCUCACCAAUGCAAUGACGCCUAACUGGUUUGAGAGGAUGAUCAGUCACACUGGAACUGAGACACGGUCCAGACCUCCUACGGGAGGCAGCAGUGGGGAAUAUUGCACAAUGGGGCGAAAGCCUGAUGCAGCAACGCCGCGUGGAGGAUGACACAUUUCCGGUGCGUAAAACUCCCUUUUAUAUAUGAAGACUAUGACGGUCAUAUUAUGAAUAAGCGCCCGGCUAACUCCGUGACAAGCAGGCUGCGGGAAUACCGAGGGCGCGAAGCGUAACCCGGAAUCACUUGGGCGUAAGAGCGGUAGGCGGGUCAUAAGUUGGAGUGAAAUCUAUGUGUCAACCCUAGAACUGGUUCCCAAAAUGUUUACUACGAAAUGUGAGCCGUCGAUGGAACUCCUGGUGUAGGGUAAAACCCGAAAGAUCAAAGGAUACCGAUUGGAGGGGACUAAUGAACAUAAUGACGUGAAACCAAAGGUGGGGACAAAAUGUUAAUCCUGUUAGCACGCCUACGAUGUACUAU